UCUUUGCUCCACUGUAAACAGAAGUGAAGAA
rnacentral:piRNA from 1 species